rnacentral:rRNA from 1 species
UACGAGGGGGGCGAGCGUUGUUCGGAUUCACUGGGCGUAAAGGGUGCGUAGGCGGUCGGGUAAGUCUGACGUGAAAUCUCCAAGCCUAACUUGGAAACUGCGUUGGAUACUCUCCGGCUAGAGGAAUGGAGGGGAGACUGGAAUACUUGGUGUAGCGGUGAAAUGCGCAGAUAUCAGGAGGAACACCGGUGGCGAAGGCGGGUCUCUGGGCCGAUACUGACACUGAGGAGCGAAAGCGUGGGGAGCGAACAGG